rnacentral:tRNA from 1 species
GGAGAGAUAGCUCAGUGGUUAAGAGCACUGGCUGCUCUUCCAGAGGUCCUGAGUUCAAUUCCCAGCAACUACA